rnacentral:rRNA from 1 species
UAAUACGGAGGGUGCAAGCGUUAUCCGGAUUCACUGGGUUUAAAGGGUGCGUAGGUGGGAAUGUAAGUCAGUGGUGAAAUCUCCGUGCUUAACAUGGAAACUGCCAUUGAUACUAUGUUUCUUGAAUUUUCUGGAGGUAAGCGGAAUAUGUCAUGUAGCGGUGAAAUGCUUAGAUAUGACAUAGAACACCAAUUGCGAAGGCAGCUUGCUACAGGGAUAUUGACACUGAGGCACGAAAGCGUGGGGAUCAAACAGGAUUAGAUACCCUGGUAGUCCACGCCCUAAACGAUGGAUACUCGACAUUUGUGAUACACAAUAAGUGUCUGAGCGAAAGCAUUAAGUAUCCCACCUGGGAAGUACGACCGCAAGGUUG